CCUACGGGAGGCAGCAGUGAGGAAUAUUGGUCAAUGGGCGCGAGCCUGAACCAGCCAAGUAGCGUGAAGGAUGACUGCCCUACGGGUUGUAAACUUCUUUUAUAAAGGAAUAAAGUGAGGCACGUGUGCCUUUUUGUAUGUACUUUAUGAAUAAGGAUCGGCUAACUCCGUGCCAGCAGCCGCGGUAAUACGGAGGCGCCGAGCGUUAUCCGGAUUUAUGGGGUUUAAAGGGAGCGUAGGUGGGUUGUUAAGUCAGGUGUGAAAGUUUGCGGCUCAACCGUAAAAUUGCAAUUGAUACUGGCAGUCUUGAGUACAGUUGAGGGAGGCGGAAUUCGUGGUGUAGCGGUGAAAUGCGUAGAUAUCACGAAGAACCCAGAUUGCGAAGGCAGCUUACUAAACUGUGACUGACAUUGAUGCGCGAAAGUGUGGGUAUCAAACAGGAUUAGAUACCCGAGUAGUC
rnacentral:rRNA from 1 species